rnacentral:rRNA from 1 species
CUUUCUUUGCUGGCGACCGGCGCACGGGUGAGUAACACGUAUCCAACCUGCCCUUUACUCGGGGAUAGCCUUUCGGAAGAAAGAUUAAUACCCGAUAGCAUAAUGAUUCCGCAUGGUUUCAUUAUUAAAGGAUUCCGGUAAAGGAUGGGGAUGCGUUCCAUUAGGUUGUUGGUGGGGUAACGGCCCACCAAGCCUUCGAUGGAUAGGGGUUCUGAGAGGAAGGUCCCCCACAUUGGAACUGAGACACGGUCCAA